UAGAGUUUGAUCAUGGCUCAGGAUGAACGCUAGCGGCAGGCCUAAUACAUGCAAGUCGAACGGUGGUAGCAAUACCAUAGUGGCGCACGGGUGCGUAACGCGUAACCAACCUACCCUUGACUGGGGGAUAGCCCGCCGAAAGGCGGAUUAAUACCGCAUAAACCAACAGAGCGGCAUCGUUUAAUUGGUAAAGAUUUAUUGGUCAAGGAUGGGGUUGCGUAGCAUUAGCUAGAUGGCGAGGUAACGGCUCACCAUGGCGACGAUGCUUAGGGGAGCUGAGAGGCUGAUCCCCCACACUGGCACUGAGAUACGGGCCAGACUCCUACGGGAGGCAGCAGUAGGGAAUAUUGGGCAAUGGCCGAGAGGCUGACCCAGCCAUGCCGCGUGCCGGAUGAAGGCCUUCUGGGUUGUAAACGGCUUUUCUCAGGGAAGAAAAAGGGGAUGCGUCCUCAACUGACGGUACCUGAGGAAUAAGCACCGGCUAACUCCGUGCCAGCAGCCGCGGUAAUACGGAGGGUGCGAGCGUUGUCCGGAUUUAUUGGGUUUAAAGGGUGCGUAGGCGGCCCGUUAAGUCCGGGGUGAAAGCCCACAGCUCAACUGUGGAACUGCCCUGGAUACUGGCGGGCUUGAGUCCAGACGAGGUUGGCGGAAUAGAUGCUGUAGCGGUGAAAUGCAUAGAUAGCAUCUAGAACCCCGAUUGCGUAGGCAGCUGACUAGGCUGGCACUGACGCUGAGGCACGAAAGCGUGGGGAGCGAACAGGAUUAGAUACCCUGGUAGUCCACGCCGUAAACGAUGGAUACUCGCUGGUAGCGAUAUAUGGUUACUGGCUUAGCGAAAGCGUUAAGUAUCCCACCUGGGGAGUACGCUCGCAAGAGUGAAACUCAAAGGAA
rnacentral:rRNA from 1 species